rnacentral:rRNA from 1 species
AUUGAACGCUGGCGGCAGGCCUAACACAUGCAAGUCGAGCGAGCGGCGGAGGGGUGAGGAAUGUUUGGGAACCUGCCGGUUGGAUGGGGAUAACUACUGGAAACGGUAGCUAAUACCGCACACCAUCAGAUGUGCCCCGGUGGGAUUAGCUAGUCGGUGGGGUAACGGCUCACCUAGGGGACGAUCCCUAGCUGGUCUGAGAGGUGUACAGGCCAAACUGGAACUGGGACACGGUCCCGACUCCUACGGGAGGGAGCAUUGGGGAAUAUUGCACCAUGGGCGCAAGGCUGAUGCAGCCAUGCCGCGUGUGUGAAGAAGGCUUUCGGGUUGGAAAGCACUUUCAGCGGGGAGGCGUUAACCGCAGAAGAAGCCCCGGCUAACUCCGGGCCAGCCGCCGCGGUAAUUC